GUCGAGAAUAAUUCACAAUGGACGAAAGUCUGAUGGUGCAACGCCGCGUGGAGGAUGACGGUCUUCGGAUUGUAAACUCCUGUCAUCCGGGAGUAAGACCUGGCUGUGAAUAGCAGACAGGGUUGAUAGUACCGGAAGAGGAAGGGACGGCUAACUUCGUGCCAGCAGCCGCGGUAAUACGAAGGUCCCGAGCGUUGUUCGGAAUCACUGGGCGUAAAGGGAGCGUAGGCGGCGUGGUAAGUCAGAUGUGAAAUCCCGGGGCGCAACCCCGGAACUGCAUCCGAUACUGCCGUGCUAGAGGAUUGGAGAGGUAGCUGGAAUUCUUGGUGUAGCAGUGAAAUGCGUGGAGAUCAAGAGGAACACUCGUGGCGAAAGCGAGCUACUGGUCAAUAUCUGACGCUGAGGCUCGAAGGCCAGGGUAGCGAAAGGGAUUAGAUACCCCGGUAGUCC
rnacentral:rRNA from 1 species